GGAGGGUGGGGGGGAGGAGUUACAACUGAAGACAACAGAAGCCCCGUCAAAGCACUUUGUUAUAUUUGUUUCUAUAAGACCCAACUUUUCCUUCAGCGCGGACCGACUGGCAGAUACACCGGUCCCCACGAGGCCCCGCCCCCCCCAAUCCCCACGACAUUACCCUGGGCCCGUCACUCGCCAUACCAAAUUUUUCACACUCUGAUUCAGAGGCGAGGAGAGCCGGUUCCUUCGGCCUGGAAACGAACCCCUUUUGGCUUUGUACAGCGGCUUUAAGCUAUUUAUUUAUAAAGGACUUUUUUUCUUUUUUUUUUAAAUGAGUGUUUCAGUGGAACUGCACACAUCUGUGUGAGGCCUCAGCCCACUGGGAAGGUUUUCAGCAGUCGUCCAUCCCCAGAUGUGGAGGAAAGCACCAACACCAUGUGCAGGCGAAACGUUUAGAGAGCUGGGCCAGACGGAGCCGGAUUACCUUCCCUUUUCACAGAGUCCAGACGGCACCUUGGAGGACGGCAGGGGGGGUUCUGGAAUCGACUGGUCUCCCUGCAGACAGGGGAGCGGGCAUCGAUUAGCCCCCCGUGUGGAUCGGAGAACAGAGAUUGAUUGCUCUGCCUGCAAUGGAGGAGAGGGGAUUGAUUGGUCUCCAUGUCUAUGUGGGGAGAUAAACGGAAGAAGACGGCCGCAAAACAGCAGAAGCAGCACUCCAGGUGGACCUGCGUCACGUGACGGGGAUUAGCCGUGUGAUUGGCCGCCACCUUCUCCAGGCUUGGAACUUCCUGCAGAUGUCUUACAGAGGACUUGUUUUCUAAAUUUUUUCCUGAAGAUACAUGUUCCUUGGCAGUUGUCUGUAAAUAGCACAUUGUUUGUUUAUUUUUUUCUUUUGUUUUAUUUUCUGGAACAGUCUGUGUAUUGAAUGCUUAAAAGACCCCAUGUGUGGAUCUGCUGAUGUACAGUGCCUUUUGCUGCUAUAGAUGAAGUUGUUCAUAUUGGUACUGCUGUAUAUCGUAUUGGUUUUGGUGUUUCUCCGCGUUUGGUAGUAGGAUCUAGAGUUACGGGCCCAGUUUGCACUCAUCUGCAGGGGCUCUAGGAGCACGGGUGGAUUUGCGUAAACUGCAAGCCGGCCUCUUUUCGAGCAGAAGCCACGGUGGGGAGCGAGUAAAACCGCAAACUGGCCCCGUUUCGAGCAGAAGCCGCGGUGGGGAGCACGUUAAACCGCAAGACGACCCCGUUUCGAGCAGAGACCGCAGUGGGGAGCAAGUAAAACCGCAAACUGGCCCCGUUUCGAGCAGAAGCCACAGCGGGAUGCCGACAGGAUUCCAAAUCAAACCGAGUCUUACACGGCGUCAUCUCGCAAAGAUGCGUCUGGAGAGGAAUGUCGCUUCUGGCCGUUGUCGUGGAAACCCUCCGGCAGCCCACCGAAACACAAAGUAACCUAAUAAGAGGCUGAGAUUCCACCUUUUUGCCGUCCCAGUCCUUCAGGUGCCGCCCGAUGAUGCUGCCGGUGUUUGUAUGCGUGUGGCGUCUCCGCGGUGUGGCCUGGAAGGAGGCCCAAGCGGCCAUCGGUCUCAUGAACCCUGCCCUGGCUCCGAAUCUUCAGUGUUGUUGUCGCAAUGCAAAGGGUCUUUGGGUGCUCUUGCAGAUUUUGAUACUAAACAUGGUGUGUAUAAUCCUAACCCAGUCCCUGCCAACUUUCUCUUCUAUUUUAAUUUAAUUUUUUUCAUUAUUAUUAUUUUUGGGCUGCACAGACAGGUAUGUAUGUAUAGAUUACAAACACGUACACAUCUGUAAGUGUAUGCGUGGGCGUGCAUGCGUGCGUCUGUGUGCAUUUCUGAUACCUAUGCGACUAUUUAUGCGACAUCACAUGACUUGUGGAGGGCGUGCAUUUCGGAACAGUUACGGGAUUGUUCAUGGCUUUUGCUUUAGACUCCUAGUCAGCAGAAACAGGAUUAAAAAAUAGUAAUAAUAAUAAAAAAAAAGAAAAGUUUCUUUCACAUGGAGGAUGAAUUUCUGCGUUCUUUCCAGUCAUCGAGGCAGCCGUGCCCUCAGUGCAGUGAGUGCCUCACUUCUUCGUUGUGGUGAAUUGUUUUAUUCCCGUGUGAACCGAGUCGUGUUGCCUGUCUGCAAAAUGCUCUCAUUUGUGACCUGAAACGAUGACUUUGCGAAUAUGCGCUUGUCGGCGACGAACAAAGGCGGCCAUCUUGUGAUGUGAUCAAAUGCGGUGGCCCUCAAAUGAUGCGUACAAGACAUUUACCGACUUUGGCAGGAAGUGGUAGAAUACCAAAGUGAUUUUUAGAAAAAAAACGAUAAAAAAUAUGUGUUGCUAUUUAUAUUUUAGAAAUACAUUCAGGCUGAAAACAGUCACUUGUCUGCAUCGCAUCUGAUGGGUGGGGGCAUUUGUAUUGUAAUAAGUUCUUUAAAGGACGUUUCUUCAAGGUACCAGUGUCUUGAAUGCUCAGUAUUCAUGACUGAACUCCAUCUAAGAACCUCUGAUAAAGUCGGCUGAGACCAACUGAUUUGAGGGAGAAUGAUGAGCAGGGGAGACUCCAUCAAAGCUGUCGCUUCUGUGUUUCCCCAGAUCUAUGUUUCUUUUUUCACCCCCCAAUAAAUCACCACUUUUGGUGCAGUCUGAAACUUGAGCUCAUGUGGAGAAGGAUUGCUGAAGUUUGAUUGGAGAUUUGGCUGCAAGAAAGAGAAUUACAUAGAAAAAUCACUGCAUCCAGAUCUCUAAAGUGUUCUAAUUAACAUAUAACGGGCAUGAGGUUAACAUGUAACAGCUGUACAUAAAUUUACAAAUUUCCUUUUGCAGAAUCGUAAGAAUGUGUAAUCAUAGCAGAAUUUCUUAGCCUAUGUAUCGUGCCAGGCUCUGUAUAACUGGGUCCCGCCGUCCUCUGCAUAAUACAUAACAUAACUCAUUUAAAUGAUGUUUAGACAUCUAUGGUUUUCUACUGUACGUAGCAAUUCUGGAACAUGUCAUCCAGUAAGAACUACUGGUUCUGCUUUGGUAUUGAAUAGAUUGUUAAGACACUAUUUUAUGACUAAAAAAAGAACAAAAAAAAUGUACGCUUACAGUUGAACGAAACAACCUGUUACUAGUUGUUAUUGUUUCUUUAAUACAAAAUGCAUUUUGUCUGUUUUUUCUAGUCUGUGUCUAAAUUUAUUAAAUUCCUCUAUGGUGUUACCUUGAUCCUUGAA